rnacentral:rRNA from 1 species
GACGAACGCUGGCGGCGUGCUUAACACAUGCAAGUCGAACGGAAAGGCCUUUUCGGAGGUACUCGAGUGGCGAACGGGUGCGUAACACGUGGGUGAUCUGCCCUGCACUCUGGGAUAAGCCUGGGAAACUGGGUCUAAUACCGGAUAGGACCGCACCUUCGUGUGUGUGGUGGAAAGUUUUUUCGGUGUAGGAUGAGCCCGCGGCCUAUCAGCUUGUUGGUGGGGUAAUGGCCUACCAAGGCGGGGACGGGUAGCCGGACGGAGAGGUUGGUCGGCCACAUUGGAACGGGGACACGGGCCGGACGCCUACGGGAGGCACGACAGGGGAAGAUGGGACAAUGGGGGCAAGCGUGAUCCAGGCAUGCCGCGUGGGUGAGGAAGGCCUUCGGGUUUUAGAGCCCUUUUGUGGGGAAAGAAAAGCAGCAGGUGAAUACCGCGCUGUUCUGACGGUACCCAAAGAAUAAGCACCGGCUAACUUCGUG